ensembl:lncRNA novel transcript
GUAUCCAUAAAUUCCCUGACAUGCAGGCAAUAUGCACAUGCUUCUGAGUGAGGAGAGAAAAUUCAUGAGAUUCCCAUAGGGGUCCAAGAGUCUAAAAAGAUGAACAACUACAGGAUUAAUUUUUGUUUUAUGUUUGUUUAUUUAUAUCUAUUUGAUCUGUCAAUAGCAUUAUAACUGUGCUUUUAACAAUUUUGUCUUGUUUUUAUACUUCUUUUCAUUCUAUAUAUUGAAGCAAUGUUGACUGAUGCAUAUUUGUGGAUAUUUAUAAUGUAACUACAUAUUUUAUUCUUUUCAUUAUAAAAUGUUAAUUAUAAAGUCAUUAAGAAUCCUUUUUAAUAUAUUUGCCCUGAAUUCAGCAGUGUCUGAUUUUAUUACUCAAUUGUAGCUUUCAGUUUAUUUGUGUUUGUCUGAUGUAUUUUUUCAACUUUAGGCUUUUUGCUUAGUUGGAUUCUUUUUGUAUCAAUUAUAUUUAAUACGGAAUUUUAAUCUUUCUAUGUUCAUUGCAAUAAAUGAUAUAUUUGCUCCU